rnacentral:pre_miRNA from 1 species
GAACACCGCUUUCGCACCAGCAAAAAGGCCACCGGAUGCGGUGGCCUUUUUGCUGGUGCGAGACGCGUCGCCG